GCGAACUCGGGCUAGUAAGCAAUGAAAGCCUUUUUCUCGCCAACGAUUUUCGGCUUCGAUUCAUUUCGUCGCUGUCAGUCGGAAGUGGGAAAUAAAACUUGAUUAACUAUCAACCCCCUUUUAUACUUUAUUGUACUGAACUGUUUCUUCCUCUAUUUCAUUAUGGAGAAGAAAACAAAAAUACGAAACAAAGAACAACUCUUAGCAACGGAUAUCUUGGUUCUCGUAACGAUGAAGAACGCAGCGAAAUGCGAUACGUAAUGCGAAUUGCAGAAUUCAGUGAAUCAUCAAAUCUUUGAACGCAAAUGGCGCUUUUUGGAUAGGCCAAGGAGCAUGCCUCUUGGAGUAUCGUUUCUAACCAUCUCAGAGACUCUCUUUUAUUAGGAGUGAAUCUGGAUAAUGAGUUUUCUCACUGAAAUAGUGAGUAACUUUAAGAAGCGCGAGUGCUAAUUACGAAGUACCCCUAGUUUGUUCAGCUUCUUUCGAGAGGCGCCCCGCUUCGGCAGGGUUCUUACAGCUAGUGACGUUGAUAAUCUUAUUUCUCUACGUCGCUUAUCAAACUGUUUGAAUUCUACGAUGCGUCGGUCAAGACAAGCUUUAAAUAUGGGCGAAAAGUGUAGCGUCAACUCGAAUGGAAAAAUUUCGGUUCGCAAGAGCUGAAAACUUUUUGAAUUAGAUCUCCAAUGAAGCAAGAUUACCCGCUGAACUUAAGCAUAUUAUUAAGCGGAGGAAAAGAAACUAACAAGGAUGCCAUCAGUAACGGCGAGUGAAGCUGGCAAAGCUCAACCUGAAAAUCGGGUUCCUUAGCGGGAUCUCGAAUUGUGGGCUAUAGACGCGUGAUCAGUGUGUGACCCAGGCAUAAAUCUCUUUGAAACGAGGUAUCAUAGUGGGUGAGAAUCCCGUCUGUGGCUUGGAGCAUCGCCGCGUACGAUCCGCGUUCGCAGAGUCGCGUUGUUUGGGAUUGCAGCGCUAAAUGGGUGGUAAAUUUCAUCUAAAGCUAAAUAUCGACGAGAGACCGAUAGCGAACAAGUACCGUGAGGGAAAGAUGAAAAGAACUUUGAAAAGAGAGUUAAAAAGUACUUGAAAUUGCUAAGAGGGAAGCUCUGGAAACCAGUGAAUGAACUCGCGUGUAUAUUUACCAUCCGCUACUGGAUCGCUGUUUGUGCCGAGAGCCCAAAGCCUCGCUAGGGCAGCGUGAAAAUGUGGGUGUUCCCUGUACUGUGAGUUCGGUCAGAAUCGAUUUGAUUCGUGAGAGAAAGCUAUCACAACGGUAGGACCGCGGGGGCAACUCCAAGGUCUGUUUAGUGUGGUAGUCCUAUCAUGGGCUAGAUCGAGGGACAAUUUCAACGCGCACCACUAGGUUAUCGGUUCCCCGACCCUGGGGCUUCACGAAGCGUGGACAACAAAGUUGUGCUGUUUCGGAAGGGCUCUACUGGAAGGGAUGAACUAGACGCAGCGUUCGAGAUUCUGACGAAAUGGUUUUCAGCGACCCGUCUUGAAC
rnacentral:rRNA from 1 species